rnacentral:misc_RNA from 1 species
AAGUGAAAUAUGGGGCUUCGCCCCAUGUGAAAUAUCGGCCCAAAGGCCGAUGUGAAAUAUUGAACGGCGAAGCCGUUCAAUGUGAAAUGUGGC